rnacentral:rRNA from 1 species
UCCCGCGUAAUUUAAGCAUAUUAAUAAGCGGAGGAAAAGAAACUAACUAGGAUUCCCUUAGUAGCUGCGAGCGAACAGGGAAGAGCCCAGCACUGAAUCCUGCGCGCCCAGCGCGCGUCUGGAAAUGUAGUGUUUGGGAGGGGCCGAUCAUCUCGUGAGAGCGCACCAGUCCAAGUCCAUCUUGAAAGCGGCCACAGCCCGUAGAGGGUGCCAGGCCCGUAGGACGGUGCGUGUGACUCGAACGAAAGGUCCUCUAGAGUUCAAGAGUACGUGAAACCGUUCAGGGGUAAACGGACGAAAUCUGGAAAAUCGAAGCGAGAGAUUCAAGCUCGAGCCGCCUGUGCGUCGAGCGGCGUCCGCCGAUGGCGGACCGGCGCCCGCGCGUCGCAGCAAUGCGCGCCGGUGUCGUUCGGUCCGUUCACGGUGUGCGCGUCACUCGCGCCGGCCUCGGGCCGCACUUUUCUCGUUGUAGUACGUCGCGACCCGUUGGGCGCGCGUCCAAGGCCCGCGCAUGGAGCCGACCUCGGCGUCUGCGGUCGCGUCGUCUUUACGGACGGCCGGCGGCAGCGUCUGGUCGACGGCGCGGUGUCCCGACGCGCCCGCCCGACGGUAGCCAAACGACUCGCAAGGCAGUCGCCCGUCGUCGCGCGGCCGGUAAAACGGCGGCGCGGCGGCACGGCGGCCGGCCCUUAACUGGGCACGCGUGUCGUGUCAGCGGCGCUCUAUCUAGAGCAUCAUCCGACCCGUCUUGAAACACGGACCAAGGAGUCUAGCAUGUGUGCAAGUCAUUGGGACCGUACUAAACCUAGAGGCGUAAUGAAAGUGAAUGUCGGCCGCCUCGGCGGCCGGCAGAGGGGAGAUGGCGGCCGGCCCAGCGUCGCGCCGCCCGCAUCCCCGGGGCGUCUCGUUGUCAUUGCGACACAGCAGGCGCACCCAGAGCGUACACGUUGGGACCCGAAAGAUGGUGAACUAUGCCUGGUCAGGUCGAAGUCAGGGGAAACCUGGCACUCGGAGCAAAUGCACGGAGCGUCGGCGGGCGGCGCGGCUCUGCCGUUCACCGCCCGUCGGUCGCGAACACCAGUCUCAUCUGGUAAAGCGAAUGAUUAGAGGCCUUGGGGCCGAAACGACCUCAACCUAUUCUCAAACUUUAAAUGGGUGAGACAUUCGACUUGCUUAAAUGCCAUGUCGUUGAAGUCGAACCAAUUGUGAGCGGAUGAAAGAGUGCCAAGUGGGCCAAUUUUGGUAAGCAGAACUGGUGCUGUGGGAUGAACCAAACGUCGCGUUAAGGCGCCUAAAUCGAUGCUCAUGGGAUACCAUGAAAGGCGUUGGUUGCUUAAGACAGCAGCGAUGUUGAUGUGCUGUCGUUUCAUUGAUCAAUUUUUCGCACAGUUCCGCCCGUCUGUUUUUGGUAAAUCGAAAACUGCACCGCGAUGGAACGCACGCUUGCGACGAACGAAUAACUGAUUGACCACAUCGGGCGAAAGGGAAUCCGGUUCCUAUUCCGGAACCCGGCUGCGGAACCGACUCGCGGGCCACUCUGCAGCGAUGCAGAACUCGUCGGGGUAACCCAAAAGGACCCGGAGACGCCGUCGGAUGAUCGAGGCAGAGUUUUCUGUUCUGUAUGAGCGUUCGAGUUCCCUGGAAUCGCCUAGCGCGGAGAUAGGGUUUGGAACGCGAAGAGCACCGCACUUGCGGCGGUGUCUCGAUCUAUCCC